GUGGGGGCGGUGGUGUUUAGAGAAAGGAAAAUAAAAAGGGUGUAUGGGCAUAAGUUUGGAUUGACAUUUCAUCACAUGCAUCAUCAAUGUUAUCGUCUAAGUAAUUUUCUCCACUAUGUUCCCUAUCCAUCUACAAAUUAAAAUAUUAAUAUACUAUUGCUAAAUAAUCAGACAAACAGAAAUGCAUUCAAAAUAUGGCAUAAUAAUAGAAAGUAAACAAUUUGAAUAAAAAAUAUGGAUGACUG
rnacentral:misc_RNA from 1 species